UACGUAGGGUGCGAGCGUUGUCCGGAAUUAUUGGGCGUAAAGGGCUCGUAGGCGGUUUGUCGCGUCGGGAGUGAAAUCCACUGGCUUAACUGGUGGCUUGCUUUCGAUACGGGCAGACUGGAGGUAUGCAGGGGAGAACGGAAUUCCUGGUGUAGCGGUGAAAUGCGCAGAUAUCAGGAGGAACACCGGUGGCGAAGGCGGUUCUCUGGGACGGUACUGACGCUGAGGCGCGAAAGCGUGGGGAGCGAACAGG
rnacentral:rRNA from 1 species